rnacentral:rRNA from 1 species
GGCGUGCCUAACACAUGCAAGUCGAGCGAUGAAGUUCCUUCGGGAACGGAUUAGCGGCGGACGGGUGAGUAACACGUGGGCAACCUGCCUUAUAGAGGGGAAUAGCCUUCCGAAAGGAAGAUUAAUACCGCAUAAGAUUGUAGCUUCGCAUGAAGCAGCAAUUAAAGGAGCAAUCCGCUAUAAGAUGGGCCCGCGGCGCAUUAGCUAGUUGGUGAGGUAACGGCUCACCAAGGCGACGAUGCGUAGCCGACCUGAGAGGGCGAUCGGCCACAUUGGGACUGAGACACGGCCCAGACUCCUACGGGAGGCAGCAGUGGGGAAUAUUGCACAAUGGGGGAAACCCUGAUGCAGCAACGCCGCGUGAGUGAUGACGGCCUUCGGGUUGUAAAGCUCUGUCUUUGGGGACGAUAAUGACGGUACCCAAGGAGGAAGCCACGGCUAACUACGUGCCAGCAGCCGCGGUAAUACGUAGGUGGCAAGCGUUGUCCGGAUUUACUGGGCGUAAAGGGAGCGUAGGCGGAUUUUUAAGUGGGAUGUGAAAUACCCGGGCUCAACCUGGGUGCUGCAUUCCAAACUGGAAAUCUAGAGUGCAGGAGGGGAAAGUGGAAUUCCUAGUGUAGCGGUGAAAUGCGUAGAGAUUAGGAAGAACACCAGUGGCGAAGGCGACUUUCUGGACUGUGACUGACGCUGAGGCUCGAAAGCGUGGGGAGCAAACAGGAUUAAAAUACCCUGGGAUUCCACGCCGUAUACGAUGAAUACUAGGUGUAGGGGUUGUCAUGACCUCUGUGCCGCCGCUAACGCAUUAAGUAUUCCGCCUGGGGAGUACGGUCGCAAGAUUAAAACUCAAAGGAAUUGACGGGGGCCCGCACAAGUAGCGGAGCAUGUGGUUUAAUUCGAAGCAACGCGAAGAACCUUACCUAGACUUGACAUCUCCUGAAUUACCAUGUAAUGUGGGAAGUCCCUUCGGGGACAGGAAGACAGGUGGUGCAUGGUUGUCGUCAGCUCGUGUCGUGAGAUGUUGGGUUAAGUCCCGCAACGAGCGCAACCCUUAUUGUUAGUUGCUACCAUUUAGUUGAGCACUCUAGCGAGACUGCCCGGGUUAACCGGGAGGAAGGUGGGGAUGACGUCAAAUCAUCAUGCCCCUUAUGUCUAGGGCUACACACGUGCUACAAUGGCCGGUACAACGAGAUGCAAUACCGUGAGGUGGAGCAAAACUAUAAAACCGGUCUCAGUUCGGAUUGUAGGCUGAAACUCGCCUACAUGAAGCUGGAGUUACUAGUAAUCGCGAAUCAGAAUGUCGCGGUGAAUACGUUCCCGGGCCUUGUACACACCGCCCGUCACACCAUGAGAGUUGGCAAUACCCAAAGUUGGUGAUCUAACCCGUAAGGGAGGAAGCCACCUAAGGUAGGGUCAGCGAUUGGGGUGAAGUCAUAACAA